GCGAGGAGGGUGUCCAGAGCCGCCGCCGCCGCUGCCGGAGGAGCCAUGAGGCGGUCGGGGAGAACCCCCUCCACCCCGCCCUCCCGGAGGGCCCCCUCCACCCCGCCAUCCCGCCGGGGGAGACGCCGCGGCGCCUCUCCGCGCAGGCAGCGGGCGCCCCCCGCCUCGCCUCGCCGGGCGCCCCCCGCGGACCAGGCGCCGCGCCCCCGCCGGAGAAGGUUCCGCCCCGGCCAGCGAGCCCUGCUGGAGAUUCGCAAGUACCAGAAGUCCACCAACCUCCUCAUCCGGAAGCUGCCCUUCGCCCGCGUGGUGCGCGAGAUCUGCCUGGAUUACACGCGGGGGGUCGACAUGCAAUGGCAGGCCAUGGCGCUGCUCGCCCUGCAGGAGGCCGCCGAAGCGUUUCUCGUCUUCCUGUUGGAGGAUGCCUACCUCUGUACCAUCCAUGCCAAGAGGGUCACCCUCCACCCCAAGGACAUACAACUGGCUCGGCGGAUCCGGGGCAUUCAUGGCGGCUUGGGCUAGCAUCCUGCCUCCGAGGGAGCAGCGAAAAGGCAACCCGGAGCAUCCCAGAAACUGCGACGUGCUCAGGGACCUCCUUCAGGCUGGGAGCGGCUGGCUUGGACCUAAAAGCCCCUGUCAGGGGGGCAGCACGGCCUCAGCUCUUUGGCUCCCUCCUUUUUUCCGCCUGCUUCCUGCCCCAGCUGCUCCCUGAGAUUUUAAUGCCAAACUUCUCCUGAGUACGUCCAAAAUCCACACAAAAUAGAUGGUUGCAGAUGUUUCUCUAGUGGGGAUUUCCUUUUAGCAGGAACAGUAGUUCAAGAACACCUUGGCUGGCAGCUGUUGAUCAGAGCCUCAGGCAAAUGCAUUAAUGGUACAGUAACGUUUUGCUCCUAAAGUGGAUUUCAGUUCAGUGACUUCUGGGUGGAAAAGUUUUAUUAAGUGGCAUGUUGUGCUGGUUUUAAAAUAGCUCUGCCUGCCCCUACCUCAUCCAAACCACAUUCCCUUUGGGAACACACACAAACGCAAAAGGAAUCCUGAUCGCAGGCAUGUUUUGGACUCUGCCCCACAACGGCCUCCUCUUAAACAGCUCUAAAAUGGAUGCAGAUGAACUUGCUUCACAUUGAACAUUUACUUCACAGCUCUGGAUGAUUCUUGUCAGAGCAAUAAAGUGUUGUCUCCUGUGAAAUAAAAUGGGCAUGAUUCAGGGAAGGGAAGAUCUCUAAACUGAACUAUUCUGUUUCAUGCAAAACUAUGUAAAAUGCUUACUAAUUUGUAUCCAGGGAGAGGUCCUGUUAUGUCACAAUUAUGUGACAUGUUGAGAUUCAGUGUCAUCUUACAUGUCAAUAUACCAUUUCCCCUCUUUAAAACUAAUUGAAGGAAGGGUUUUUUUGUAGUUAGCACCCAAACAACCUGUAGAAUGUUGAAUAAAAGGUAAAAGGUUACAGACACUUGCAAUUUUUUUCCCUACCUCACUGCAGACAGUAUAUACACGAAGAACAGCCACUGAGCAAAGCUUGGUGCCCCUAUGUCUUUGGGGAUGAAUUAUCUGACUAGUGCAGUCCAUGCUGUAUACAAUUCACUUCCAGGGCAGGGCAGUUACGUAUUUGGGCAUGACGCUGGUGUUAUCAGUCCUUAAAUUCAUAAAAGCAAUGUUAGCAUCGAAAUUGGUAGCUUGGUAUAUAUUCUGAAAUAAUAUUCCUGCUCCCAGGGCUCAGAAGAAUGGUGGUUGGCAGUAGUUCCUCCAUGGGGAGUGGCACUGCCCAUUCACAGAUGCACCAUCUUCUUAAUUGCUAUUUCACGUGUUCCAGGACUGUGCUCUCUCAUGGAAAAUAACUUCUGGGUUGAGUCUGGGUGAGUUCUGCCUCCAAUUAAAUUCUGAGAAUAAGUAACAGAUAGCUCUAACCCGACGCACAUUGCCGCAGAAGAGAAAAGUCGGUAGCGUUUAAAGUGUGCUUUCCAAAAUGGUUCUAUUGUCUUACGCAUUUAUAAAAUGGUGUCACUUGCCUUUGCUCCAGAAAUACAUCAGGCUGCUGCGUAGCUAUUUUUCCAAAUAAUUAAUCUUUCCAGUGGAAUAACUUCAAGCCCGACAUUUCCUGUUAUGUUAUACAGCUGCAAUUUGUAACCAGAGAUCCUGCACAGUGUUCUGUGGGCGCCUAGCCAAAUACAUGACACUUUACCUACAGAAGUGCCCUACACAAAUAAUCCUUAACCACAAGUUAAACAGUUAGGCACUGUUCUGGUCCAGCAGAAAAAUGGGGACAAGGAAGCUUUUAAAAAAGCAACCACCCCAAACCCCAGCAACUUUCUUUAAACCUGUGCUAAACAUCCCAUUUUGAUAUUCAAAAUAUUUUAGCUUGUAACAUGGGGGUCUGGAAAUAUCUGCUUUCUGUGAGUGAUAAUUUGUAUUAAAGAGAAAAGCUUGGGAUUGUUCAUGUCACAAAAAUGAUUUUAUUGGCUCAAAUACAUUUUUACGCUUGUUUAUUUUGGUUAAAUGUACAGCUUUUUAGCCAUCUGCAAUCCAGAUGUACAGGUAUCCUAAGACUGAAAUCUAUGCAUGCCUGCUCAUAACUAGAUCCAACUUACUUCCAAGUAAGUAUGUAUAUGAUUGUAUGAUUAAAGCCUAAUAAAUACUGAUGCAUAUUCUUAAAUUUGGUUCA